UCACAAUGUGCUCUACACUCUUGCGAAAAAAAAAAACAAAAAAAAACUGUACCUCCAUAACAAAACCUUCUCUCUGAUCACUCAGAACCCAUUUCUCUCUUAAAGGAAAAAAACUUCCAUCUCUCUCUCUCUAGAAAAUCCAAAGAGACUCACGAAGUUUUUGCCAUGUUCAAAACUCGCAAACCCAACCAAUAAGUUAAGCCUCCAUGUCACAGCAACUCCUACAUCCUCUCGAAGAGCUGUCUCUGUAGCCUUCCAGAAUCCAGCAACAAACAAACCUCCGGGAGUCCCGAGCCGUGGUAGAGUGAGCUGAAAAGUGAAGAUGCUGAAGGAAGUCCCCCAAAUUGCAUAUCUGAGCCGAUCUACACCACGCAAUCUGAUUGUCAACAAAAUCCGAAACCAGUUAGUGUCUGCCAUAGAAAUGAACGCACAGUUCAGCUCCAAUCAUCCCACAGAGUUACACAUCUUCACUCAACUAGCGCAUUGUGGUGAUUUCCAUGUGUCCUAUAACUCCACCCUACAAGUGUAUAAGUUAUGUGUCUCGUUUGUGUGCAAAGGUACUGCAGCUAGAUGCUGAACAUCAGUAAGGACACGACAACAGAGACGACAUUGCGAACCUGAGGCAUGCAGAGGGAUGAACUCCAAAUGGUGAAGACACAUUUGGGUACCAAACUAUCGGCCUGCAAGGAAGAGUGGCCGCAGAGCAAAAUAUAAAGAUUCUGUUUUUCUGCAGAUUUGUCAGGUUCUGCUGCUGGUAUUUCAGAUUCUACAGUAAUUGGCAUUGCAGGCAGAUUCUGUUCAGUACAGUUUGCACGAUUGUCAUAACUUUUUCCACACCGUAAAGUCGGAACAACAUUGCAGUCUUCAUGUCCUCUUGGAUUAGGCAUUGUUUGACUAGGAAAUAUGCCUUUUUCUUUGUUUGAAAUCUGUGCAGCUAGCUGCCCAAACUGUUGCUCCAAACUUUUAAUUGAUGCUUCAACAUUUUGAAUUCUUUGAUUGCUGCCUUCCAUGAAUGUUUGUGUGGUUGCUACUAGUUUAGAAAGUUGAUCUUCCAAGGAUGGUUUUGGUGACACAAAAGGUUUUUGUACAUGCUAGAAUGAUUUUGAAUUAUUCUGAUUGUCACCCCAUUUGAAAUUAGGAUGAUCCCUCCAUCCCGGAUUGUAAUGAGUUGCAUAUGCAUAAUUUCUAGGCCUUUGAUAGCUAUCCAUCAUAUUAACAUGUUGCUCCACAAGCUCUGGGUAAGAUUCUUUAUGUGGACAGCCCAAUAUGUUGUGUGUAGCCAUGCUGCAGAUAGUGCAAAUUAUUGUUGUAGGUGGCUGCUGCUGUGUAGAAUAUGCUAUCUGUUGUAGAAUAAUAUCAAACUCGGCAUCAAUAUUCUUCUCCAUUUUUUUCAUUUGUGCAGACAUAUUAGGAGAACCUGCUGAUAACUCAAAAAUGCCCCUUUUCUGUGAAUGUUCUGCUGCCCAUUGUUGAGAUUCUAUAACCAUUGUAUCAAAUAAUUCAAAUGCUUCUCUUGCAGAUUUAUUUGACAAUGAACCCCCAGCUGAUGCAUUAACAUGGUUGUUGGAUGUAAGAUUAAGCCCAUCAAAGAAAAUAUUCAUUUGUGUAUCUGGAUAAAUAUUAACAUGUGAACAUUUUAUAUACAUCUUUGUAUAUCUCUCCCAUGCUUUAUGAAAUUCUUCGUUUGGCU